AGUCCCCGAGUCCGCUGGCGAAAGACGCUCGGCUUUGGACCGAGAGAGCGAGGUUCGAUUCCUCGGGGGACUA
rnacentral:tRNA from 1 species